UUUAGUUGUUUUUCAUAUCACCAUUUCUUAAAGCUUAAAUAUCCAGAGUUCAGUUUAUGUUGGAUGUGCUCCUUGCCAUUAAGAACAACAACAUGAGAAAGAUUCCCAACUAUGACCCCAGUCACAUGGAGCAUAUGAAGAAAUUACUCAGGAAUUAUGUGAGAGGCACAGCAGACACCCAGCUCAGGAUAUCUCUACAGGAUCUGCUGGAUGCUGAGGAACACGGACGAUGGUGGAUUGUAGGCUCAGCUUGGAGUGG